rnacentral:rRNA from 1 species
ACUCCUACGGGAGGCAGCAGUGGGGAAUAUUGCACAAUGGGCGCAAGCCUGAUGCAGCCAUGCCGCGUGUGUGAAGAAGGCCUUCGGGUUGUAAAGCACUUUUCAGCAGUGAGGAAGGCGGAGUCGUUAAUAGCGGCCUCGUUUGACGUUAGCUGCAGAAGAAGCACCGGCUAACUCCGUGCCAGCAGCCGCGGUAAUACGGAGGGUGCGAGCGUUAAUCGGAAUUACUGGGCGUAAAGCGCAUGCAGGUGGUUUGUUAAGUCAGAUGUGAAAGCCCGGGGCUCAACCUCGGAAUAGCAUUUGAAACUGGCAGACUAGAGUACUGUAGAGGGGGGUAGAAUUUCAGGUGUAGCGGUGAAAUGCGUAGAGAUCUGAAGGAAUACCGGUGGCGAAGGCGGCCCCCUGGACAGAUACUGACACUCAGAUGCGAAAGCGUAGGGGAGCAAACAGGAUUAGAUACCCUGGUAGG